UACGUAGGGGGCUAGCGUUAUCCGGAAUUACUGGGCGUAAAGGGUGCGUAGGUGGUUUCUUAAGUCAGAGGUGAAAGGCUACGGCUCAACCGUAGUAAGCCUUUGAAACUGGAAAACUUGAGUGCAGGAGAGGAGAGUGGAAUUCCUAGUGUAGCGGUGAAAUGCGUAGAUAUUAGGAGGAACACCAGCUGCGAAGGCGGCUCUCUGGACUGUAACUGACACUGAGGCACGAAAGCGUGGGGGGCAAACAGGAUUAGAUACCCUGGUAGUCCCUGAG
rnacentral:rRNA from 1 species